UACAGAGGGGGCAAGCGUUGUUCGGAAUUACUGGGCGUAAAGGGCGCGUAGGCGGCCUGUUAAGUCGAGCGUGAAAUCCCCAAGCUUAACUUGGGAACUGCGUCCGAUACUGGCAGGCUUGAAUUCGGGAGAGGGAUGUGGAAUUCCAGGUGUAGCGGUGAAAUGCGUAGAUAUCUGGAGGAACACCGGUGGCGAAGGCGGCAUCCUGGACCGAAAUUGACGCUGAUGCGCGAAAGCCAGGGGAGCAAACGGG
rnacentral:rRNA from 1 species